UGGAGAUGAUUGUUAUGGAUUCCUUGGUAAAUUGCUUUUCUUUUUUUAAGUAUAGAUUUUUGUAUGAUAGUUAGUAAUUACAACAAAAUGCUUUUUUGUAUAACAUAUAAAAAGAAGAUUAUUUUUAUUUUGUUAGGGUGAUCGGAUUCAGGUCCUUAUUCGUCAUGACCAUUUACUGAAAUGGAAAGAGGUCAUUAAGGAGAAU
rnacentral:lncRNA from 1 species